rnacentral:rRNA from 1 species
GCUUUUAAGUCAGCGGUAAAAAUUCGGGGCUCAACCCCGGGACUGCAUUUGGAACUGUAUGGCUGGAGUGUCGGAGAGGCAGGCGGAAUUCCUAGUGUAGCGGUGAAAUGCGUAGAUAUUAGGAGGAACACCAGUGGCGAAGGCGGCCUGCUGGACGAUGACUGACGUUGAGGCUCGAAAGCGUGGGGAGCAAACAG